UUUUCCGGUUGAUCCCGCCGGACCCUACUGCUAUCGAGGUGGGACUAAGCCAUGCUAGUCGGACGACCCCGGACUAUGGCGGGGGAGUGGCAGACUGCUCAGUAACACGUAGCUAACCUACCCUUGGGACCGGGACAACCCCGGGAAACUGGGGCUAAUCCCGGAUAUGUGUGGAGGCCUGGAAUGGUUCCACGCUGAAAGGUCUUUGUGUCCAUGUCGCACAUCGACGCCCAAGGAUGGGGCUGCGGCCGAUCAGGCAGUUGGUGGGGUAAAGGCUCACCAAACCUUUGACCGGUACGGGCCGUGAGAGCGGUAGCCCGGAGAUGGGCACUGAGACAAGGGCCCAGGCCCUACGGGGCGCAGCAGGCGCGAAACCUCCACAAUGCACGCAAGUGCGAUGGGGCUACCUCGAGUGCCGUCUGAAGAAGGCGGCUUUUCCACGGUGUAAUGAGCCGUGGGAAUAAGAGGGGGGCAAGACUGGUGUCAGCCGCCGCGGUAACACCAGCUCCUCGAGUGGUAGGGACGUUUAUUUGGCCUAAAGCGUCCGUAGCCGGCUCGAUAAGUCCUUCGUUAAAUCCGGCGUCCCAAGCGCCGGGCUGCGAGGGAGACUGUCAAGCUAGAGGGUGGGCGAAGUCAGCGGUAUUUCUGGGGUAGGGGCGAAAUCCUUUGAUCCCAGGAGGACCACCAGUGGCGAAGGCUGCUGACUAGUACACGCCUGACGGUCAGGGACGAAAGCUGGGGGAGCGAAUCGGAUUAGAUACCCGAGUAGUCCCAGCCGUAAACGAUGCAGGCUAGGUGUUGGAGCGGCCACGAGCCGCUUCAGUGCCACAGGGAAGCCAUUAAGCCUGCCGCCUGGGGAGUACGGCCGCAAGGCUGAAACUUAAAGGAAUUGGCGGGGGAGCACCACCAGGCGUGAAGCCUGCGGUUUAAUUGGAGUCAACGCCGGAAAUCACUAGU
rnacentral:rRNA from 1 species